AUACCUUUCUCGAUCUUCUAGCUAAGAUAAGUGUAGUAUCUGCUCUUAUCAAUUUAAUAUUUGAUACGUGAGUCAUCGACCUAUUAUGAUGUUAAAUUAAUUUCUUGUGGGGGGAGGGUUUACGGUAGUGGCUUGCCAUUGGGACCCUCACUUGUCGCCCAUGCGUUGCACUGCAAGCACGGGCCUGGCGCUCCCCAA
rnacentral:snRNA from 1 species